UCCUAUACGCCGGUGUAAUGAACCAAUCGGAACUUGCUACGUGUUUGCGAAGUGAAAGAGACAAGUUCUAUUAUCGUGGCCUUAAUUCCGAGCAAGGUCCGCAGAUACAGAAUUAUCCCGAUGAUUGUUCACUAUAAAUAACGUGUAUCGGGAGACGUCCCACGCGAAAAACAAAAUUCUCCUCAUUUUCUAAAUAUCCGUAGGAUUCGUUCGCCGGAUCCGAGGAUAAUUUCGAGAGUCGCUCCGGUCGUUCGAACGGAACGACGUCGUCCGUUUCCGGGAAUGCAUACGAGCCCAAUGAUAUCGUGGCUUAUUCUGUAGAUGAAGAAAAAAAAAUUAAUUAUCGAGGAUAAUGAAUAACUAUCGACGAGAUACUGUUCAGAAUUUGCCGAUACGAUGUGGGAAUCUCGACUUUACAAACUUUGCGCAAUAAUAACGGUUGAUGCCCAGUCACCCGUGAGACUUUUUUUCACUAUGAUCCCGACUGGUAAUACUUCCGCAAUCCUGCGUGGAACCACGACUCGCCGGCUCGUUUGGAUUCAGUCAUCUGCGAUAGAUGACGAAAUAAGUAUGGGGCAACUAAAUAAAUGAGCCGUUGGGAGUACAGUAUAUUUUUCGGACCGACUUGCUCAGAUUUUCGGAGGUAAGUCGGUGAU